UACGUAGGGCGCAAGCGUUUAUCCGGAAUUAUUGGGCGUAAAGAGCUCGUAGGCGGUUUGUCGCGUCUGCCGUGAAAGUCCGGGGCUCAACUCCGGAUCUGCGGUGGGUACGGGCAGACUAGAGUGAUGUAGGGGAGACUGGAAUUCCCGGUGUAGCGGUGAAAUGCGCAGAUAUCGGGAAGAACACCCGUGGCGAAGGCGGUUCUCUGGGACGGUACUGACGCUGAGACGCGAAAGCGUGGGGAGCGAACAGG
rnacentral:rRNA from 1 species